CGGAGGUACUCGAGUGGCGAACGGGUGAGUAACACGUGGGUGAUCUGCCCUGCACUCUGGGAUAAGCCUGGGAAACUGGGUCUAAUACCGGAUAGGACCGCACUUUAGUGUGUGUGGUGGAAAGUUUUUUCGGUGUAGGAUGAGCCCGCGGCCUAUCAGCUUGUUGGUGGGGUAAUGGCCUACCAAGGCGGCGACGGGUAGCCGGACUGAGAGGUUGGUCGGCCACAUUGGGACUGAGAUACGGCCCAG
rnacentral:rRNA from 1 species